CAAUAGCGUAUAUUAAAGCUGUUGCGGUUAAAAAGCUCGUAGUUGGAUUUCUGUCAAGGACAACUGGUCCGCCCUCCGGGUGAGCACAUAGUUUGGUCUUGGCAUCUUGCUGGAAACUGUCGCUGCGCUUGGUUGUGUGGUGCAGCUUUCAGCACUUUCACUUUGAGGAAAUUGGAGUGUUUCAAGCAGGCACAUGCCUUUGGACACAGUAGCAUGGAAUAAUUAGAUUGGGCUUUUGCUCCAACUUGUUGGUUCCUGGAGCUGAGGUGAGAAUCAAUGGGGAUUGUUGGGGGCAUCCGAAUUUAGCCGUCAGAGGUGAAAUUCUUGGAUCUGCUAAAGACGGACAACUGCGAAAGCGUUUGCCCAGGAUGUUUUCAUUGA
rnacentral:rRNA from 1 species